rnacentral:pre_miRNA from 1 species
CAGGUGAGAGUAUUGCAUCAGGUACUGAUGUGAUGUAGAAACAACCAGUACUUGUGUUAAUACUUACGCUUG